GUGCUUGCUUUAGCAGCACACACUAAAAACUGGAACCAUGCCGAGAAGAUUAGCAUAGUCCCUCUACAAGGACGAGGUGCAUAUUUGUGAAGCGUUCCAGUUUUUU